UACAGAGGUCUCAAGCGUUGUUCGGAUUUACUGGGCGUAAAGGGCGCGUAGGCGGCCAGCACAAGUCAGUUGUGAAAUCUCCGAGCUUAACUCGGAAAGGUCAACUGAUACUGUGCGGCUAGAGUGCGGAAGGGGCAACUGGAAUUCUUGGUGUAGCGGUGAAAUGCGUAGAUAUCUGGAGGAACACCGGUGGCGAAGGCGGCAUCCUGGACCAACACUGACACUGAGGAGCGAAAGCCAGGGGAGCAAACGGG
rnacentral:rRNA from 1 species